AACGAACGCUGGCGGCAUGCCUAACACAUGCAAGUCGAACGAGACCUUCGGGUCUAGUGGCGCACGGGUGCGUAACGCGUGGGAACCUUCCCUUAGGUUCGGAAUAACUCCCCGAAAGGGGUGCUAAUACCGGAUAAUUUCUUCGGACCAAAGAUUUAUCGCCUUUGGAUGGGCCCGCGUUGGAUUAGCUAGUUGGUAGGGUAAAAGCCUACCAAGGCGACGAUCCAUAGCUGGUCUGAGAGGAUGAUCAGCCACACUGGGACUGAGACACGGCCCAGACUCCUACGGGAGGCAGCAGUGGGGAAUAUUGGACAAUGGGCGAAAGCCUGAUCCAGCAAUGCCGCGUGAGUGAUGAAGGCCUUAGGGUUGUAAAGCUCUUUUAACCGGGAUGAUAAUGACAGUACCGGGAGAAUAAGCUCCGGCUAACUCCGUG
rnacentral:rRNA from 1 species